rnacentral:rRNA from 1 species
AUUGGAUGAGCCCGCGGCCUAUCAGCUUGUUGGCGGGGUAACGGCCCACCAAGGCGACGACGGGUAGCUGGUCUGAGAGGACGACCAGCCACACUGGGACUGAGACACGGCCCAGACUCCUACGGGAGGCAGCAGUGGGGAAUAUUGCGCUAAUGCGCGAAAGCGUGACGCAGCGACGCCGCGUGGGGGAUGAAGGCCUUCGGGUCGUAAACCCCUGUCAGGAGGGACGAAGCCGCAAGGUGACGGUACCUCCAGAGGAAGUCCCGGCUAACUACGUGCCAGCAGCCGCGGCCGAU